ACAAAAAAAUUUAAUUAAUUUUAAUUAAUUAACAUUAAGCGGAAAUGUUACUUAUCUCAAAAAUAUCAACCAUUCGAUAAUCUAAGCACCUCACUAAAGUUCCUUGGGCCCUAGUAGUCCAAAAUUACAUGAAGGUAUAAAAUUAAUGGCACGAUAAUAUUUUAGAAUAAAUUUAUAAAUAUUCCCAAAAUUUCCAAAUUUUUUUAAAAAAAUUUUAAAAUUCUAAAAUCUCAAUCUCUACACUAAUUAUCAUAAUAACAGAGAAUUUGAGCCACUAAUCUUUUUUUUUAUAUUCCAUUGUAGGUGGGAGAUGAGAGUUGGCACGAUAUAGGCUUCUCUAAGUCUAGCUAGAAAAGG
rnacentral:lncRNA from 1 species